rnacentral:rRNA from 1 species
GAUGAACGCUGGCGGCAUGCCUAACACAUGCAAGUUGAACGAGAAGUUCUGGAACAAGUCUUCGGACAAGGGAAGGGACGGGAAGUAGCGAACGGGUGAGUAACGCGUGGGCAACCAACCUUACACAGGGGGAUAACGCAGAGAAAUUUGCGCUAAUACCGCAUAAGCGCACAGGAUCACAUGAUCCGGUGUGAAAAACUCCGGUGGUGUAAGACGGGCCCGCGUCUGAUUAGCUAGUUGGUGAGGUAAAGGCUCACCAAGGCGACGAUCAGUAGCCGACCUGAGAGGGUGAUCGGCCACAUUGGGACUGAGACACGGCCCAAACUCCUACGGGAGGCAGCAGUGGGGGAUAUUGCACAAUGGAGGGAACUCUGAUGCAGCAAUGCCGCGUGAAGGAAGAAGGUUUUCGGAUUGUAAACUUCUAUCAGCAGGGAAGAAAAUGACGGUACCUG